rnacentral:rRNA from 1 species
UACGUAGGGGGCAAGCGUUGUCCGGAUUUAUUGGGCGUAAAGAGCGUGUAGGCGGCCAGGUAGGUCUGCUGUGAAAACUCGAGGCUCAACCUCGAGACGUCGGCGGAAACCAUCUGGCUAGAGUCCGGAAGAGGAGAGUGGAAUUCCUGGUGUAGCGGUGAAAUGCGCAGAUAUCAGGAAGAACACCCGUGGCGAAGGCGGCUCUCUGGGACAGUACUGACGCUGAGACGCGAAAGCGUGGGGAGCGAACAGG